rnacentral:rRNA from 1 species
ACUAUGCACCGAAGCUGCGGCAGCGACACUAUGUGUUGUUGGGUAGGGGAGCGUUCUGUAAGCCUGUGAAGGUGUGUCGUGAGGCAUGCUGGAGGUAUCAGAAGUGCGAAUGCUGACAUAAGUAACGAUAAAGCGGGUGAAAAGCCCGCUCGCCGGAAGACCAAGGGUUCCUGUCCAACGUUAAUCGGGGCAGGGUGAGUCGACCCCUAAGGCGAGGCCGAAAGGCGUAGUCGAUGGGAAACGGGUUAAUAUUCCCGUACUUGGUGUUACUGCGAAGGGGGGACGGAGAAGGCUAUGUUGGCCGGGCGACGGUUGUCCCGGUUUAAGCGUGUAGGUGUGUGUUCCAGGUAAAUCCGGUUCACUUUAACACUGAGGCGUGAUGACGAGGCACUACGGUGCUGAAGCAACAAAUGCCCUGCUUCCAGGAAAAGCCUCUAAGCAUCAGGUAACAUCAAAUCGUACCCCAAACCGACACAGGUGGUCAGGUAGAGAAUACCAAGGCGCUUGAGAGAACUCGGGUGAAGGAACUAGGCAAAAUGGUGCCGUAACUUCGGGAGAAGGCACGCUGACACGUAGGUGAAGUGAUUUACUCAUGGAGCUGAAGUCAGUCGAAGAUACCAGCUGGCUGCAACUGUUUAUUAAAAACACAGCACUGUGCAAACACGAAAGUGGACGUAUACGGUGUGACGCCUGCCCGGUGCCGGAAGGUUAAUUGAUGGGGUCAGCGCAAGCGAAGCUCCUGAUCGAAGCCCCGGUAAACGGCGGCCGUAACUAUAACGGUCCUAAGGUAGCGAAAUUCCUUGUCGGGUAAGUUCCGACCUGCACGAAUGGCGUAAUGAUGGCCAGGCUGUCUCCACCCGAGACUCAGUGAAAUUGAACUCGCUGUGAAGAUGCAGUGUACCCGCGGCAAGACGGAAAGACCCCGUGAACCUUUACUAUAGCUUGACACUGAACAUUGAGCCUUGAUGUGUAG